rnacentral:rRNA from 1 species
AACGAACGCUGGCGGCGUGCUUAAUACAUGCAAGUCGUACGAGAAAGUCCCGCUUCGGCGGGGCGAGUAAAGUGGCGAACGGGUGCGUAACACGUGGGCAACCUGCCUCAAAGCCCGGGAUAAGCUCUCGAAAGGGGGUCUAAUACCGGAUAACAUCUCCGGAGGACAUCUUCCGGAGAUCAAAGGCGGCCACUAUUCAUAAGCUAUCGCUUUGGGAUGGGCCCGCGGUCCAUUAGCUUGUUGGCGAGAUAAAAGCUCACCAAGGCUACGAUGGAUAGCCGGCCUGAGAGGGUGUACGGCCACACUGGGACUGAGAUACGGCCCAGACUCCUACGGGAGGCAGCAGUAGGGAAUAUUGCGCCAUGCCCGAAUGGGUGACGCAGCAACGCCGCGUGGGCGAUGAAGUCCUUCGGGAUGUAAAGCCCUGU